rnacentral:rRNA from 1 species
UACGAAGGGGGCGAGCGUUGUUCGGAUUUACUGGGCGUAAAGCGCACGUAGGCGGGCAUUUAAGUCGAUUGUGAAAGCCCCGGGCUCAACCUGGGAACUGCAUUCGAUACUGAAUGUCUAGAGUAUGAUAGAGGAAAGUGGAAUUCCCGGUGUAGCGGUGAAAUGCGUAGAUAUCGAGAGGAACACCUGCGGCGAAGGCGGGUUGCUGGGCUGACACUGACGCUGAACUGCGAAAGCUAGGGGAGCGAACGGG